AACGAACGCUGGCGGCAUGCCUAACACAUGCAAGUCGAACGAGACCUUCGGGUCUAGUGGCGCACGGGUGCGUAACGCGUGGGAAUCUGCCCUUCGGUUCGGAAUAACAGUGGGAAACUACUAGCUAAUACCGGAUAAUGACGUAAGUCCAAAGAUUAUCGCCGAAGGAGUGAGCCCGCGUAGGAUUAGCUAGUUGGUGGGGUAAAGGCCGUACCAAGGCGACGAUCCUUAGCUGGUCUGAGAGGAUGAUCAGCCACACUGGGACUGAGACACGGCCCAGACUCCUACGGGAGGC
rnacentral:rRNA from 1 species